ACGGAGUUCAUCUUGUUUAAGCCUGUCAGGAAUAACAUUCAGCAAGUCUUCCAGAAGUUCCACGCUCUGCUAAAGGAAGAGUUCAGUUCUGAAGACAUCCAAAUCAUUGCUUGUCCUUCCAUGGAACAGCUGAACCUCCUGCUGUCAGUUUCAAAGUAGUCCCAGUGGACCACGAGUGUCAGCAGUCUGUCCCACAGGAGAGGCCUGAGGAGUCCUGCAGCCUGCAGGAUGCCCAAGACCCCCAUGUGGGACGGCUCCUGUAGAACAUGGAUGUGCAGCCUGCAGAAGGAAACCUGGGUGAGCCAGAGAAGAUCAAAAUGCCAAAGACUGACAGCAGGGAUAGCUGCCUCAUUGAACUGGUCUCCAGCAGUGGAGAGAAGCGACAGGGGGCCACAAUUCACAGUGAAAUGUUCCUUCACACAGCUUGUGCAAUAAAGUAGGUUACAGUAGUGACUAGUGUGAUGCACUCAUAGGAACUCAGCUGACUGGAAAGCUGCCGGGUCUCAGCAAGGCAUUCACCCCGGCCAUUCCUCGGACGCUGUGACUUGAAGAACUCUUCCUUCUGUGUCCCGAUGCAGAGCUUCUCAUGCUGGGUCGAGCGAGGUUGAGUUGGAAUCGGAUGGUUGCUGCCAAGAAGGCAUCUAGCUUUUCCUGGACUCAGGCUGUCAUCUUUCUGUGGGCUGACACAAGGCAGGGGCAGUUGCAAGAAGCCAAGGCCUCCUAUAAGGCUCCUUGAACUGCAUCCUCCUCACUAGAGAGGUGUAUCUUGAUGAUGGGGAUCGCCACAGUGCCGGCACCAGUGUGUGAGUGGGAGUGACCAGUGAAGAGGUUUUAGCGUGGCACAGCCUGGAGAGGAGGCGGCCUGUGGGGAGUGGGCUCAUGGAUGGAGCUUAGUUGCAGUCAUUCUUUAUAAAGUGAAUACUCUUUGGUUGCCUAUGUUGUCCUAGACACUAGCCGUCCGGCAUCCCCAGUCCUGCCAUAGCUGAACACCUAAGUGUGGCAAACGCUGCCCGUACCUUAAAUAUGACACCAGUCAAAAGUCAAAGGACUAUAAGCAUCUGUGAAUUUCCCUACAAAUUCCUCUUUGAAUUUGGGAUUGGAUUGGCUUUGACCCUGGUGUUACAAUAAAUGUAGCCAGUUUCUUGGUUCAGUUACUCAGACCGUCGUCUGUAGGGUGGGACAGUGCUGAGGGCUCUGAAAUAGGGCAGAUGACCUCAUGGUGCAGGUGAAGGGACAGGAACAGCCUCUUGCACAGUUGCACGUGGGUGACCCAUCCCGAUGCAACAGGCCAGUUUCUCAGCCCAGUUUAAAUUGGUGGUGGCCGUUGCUUGGUAGAGCAUAUUACUCUGUAUUUUGGGAAACUCAGAGGUAAGAGGGUCCAUAUUUUUUCUUUGCUAUGAAAUGAACGAGUUAGGAAGAUUGUACUUACUAUUUUAAAUACAUGUCUUAUGUGAUAAACCAUAAUCUCCAGUUCUGUGUAUUAUAUGUACAUUGGGUGUUCAGAUAGCCUUUCCAAAGAAGCGAGGACGUGACCGUUGUACAGUGCUGUGGCUCAGCAGUCUGAUGGACAGAGCAGGACUUGUUCGAGGACUCUUGUAGUGCUUUGAUUUGUUUGUUUCUGAAAACACUCACAUACCUUACCAACUGCUGGGAGGGUGGGACUGAUCCAGUUCGUUUGCUGAAUGAAUAUUUGUUUAAAUCUGUACAGUUUCACGUGUUUACUUAUACAGAGUGUACAUACUUUGAAAUAAUUAAUUUAAAAUGCUUUAUAUUAUUUAGCUAGAAAUUGCUGUUUUUAAUAAAUAAAUUUUUUUAAAAAAUAAAGAUCUUUGCUUCCU
rnacentral:lncRNA from 1 species